rfam:Pichia pastoris GS115 chromosome 4, complete sequence
GCUCUUUUAGUUUAAGUGGUUAUAACUUACUACUUCUAAUAAUAUGAUCAGCGUUCAAAUCGUUGAAGGAGCA